GAUAGGGUUCAAAGGUUAUAUUUAAGGUUUGAAAAAGAAAAUUUGAAAAGAUCAUAUAUUUAUAAUUAUUUUUUUUUAGUUUUUUGUUUUAUUAAAACUUGGAAAUAUUAGAUUUGGGAUUUUUUAUUUUAAACUUAGUGUUUAUAUGAUGUUUGAAUAGGGAUAUAGGGUUUAGGGUUUGAAAAGAUGUAAAUGAUUUAG
rnacentral:lncRNA from 1 species